CCUCUCAGAAUCUAGUGUUUGAUAUUGUUUUCCAGAUCCGAACGAAACGAAUCUAACGAUCCCUCUUCUCUUUUUUCUAUUUCCGGCAUCACCACCACCCCCUCUGCCAUUACCAUCACCUUACCGUCACCACCAUCCCCAUCUCUGCCACCACCAUCAUCUUUAUCCCGACCACCGCAACCACCACAACCAUCUCUAUCUCCUCUAUCAAUUACAUUUUAAAAUUUUAGAGAAAAAUAUUUUCUUGGUCGUAAAUCAAUUUCAGAGAAAAAUCAUCAUCAACAGCUUAUAUUCUUCUUUUUCUUCCUAUACUCCUCAUCGCAAGAGUGAUUUCCAAGGUCAGUUGAACAUUCAGUAAUUCAGAUUUGCAAUUUUAUCGAAGCUUAAUAACUAAAUUUGGAGCCGAAUUUUAAUUGAUCUCUAAAAGAGUUAUUAAUAUUGUUUGUUUUAGGUUUUUGAUUUUAGAGAUUUGAAAUCAAAAAUCAAAUCAGAAACUAAAAAUUUCAGAUUCAAAGAUUUUCCAACAUGAUUUUGGUGUAUAUUUGUAUUGAAAAUCGACUUGAGAUUAUUAUCAUUGAAAAUAGGUAUCAUUCUGCUUUGUUUUAGGUUUUUGAAUCUGAUUUUGGUGUAUAUAUUUGAUUCAUUACAGUAAAUAGUGAUCCUUAAUAUAUUCAGUUUAAGUGUUUGAUGAAUGUUAUUGUUAUGGUGGUGGACGCUUGUUCACACCGGAGGUGAUAUAACAACAGUUAAGGUUGGUGUUGUUGUUGUGGAGGUGGUGGAGGUGGAUGUUACAGCACUAGUGUUGGUACUUGUUGGUUGGGGGUGGAAGUGGAAUUUGUAAAGUUGGUAGACUAGUGGGUGGAGGCGGAGUUUGGAGAUGGUGCUGGUUGUGGAAUUGUAAUUGAAGUUGGUACAUUCUGUCUUGUUUUAACCACAAGCUGUGAACUAGAACUAUGGUGUAUAUCUAUUUUUAAGAAAUUAAGUGGACUGGAAUGGUAAUGCAAGUGUUUGAUGAAUGACAUUCAUAAAUUCUUUUUGUUUGGGAUAUUUUAAUGGUGUCGGUACUUCUACAUAGUUCUCAUAUACGUGGGAGGAAAGUGGGCUCCUGAAGGUUCUGUUGCUUUCGUUGGAUUAGAGGACAUUACCAUCGGAAAAUAUAUGUGAGACAUUGUUGUAAUUAUAGUAUUAAUUUUUAACGUACGUUAUAUGUAGCACCAAUUCAAAGAUCAUUUUUACUUACCGAUGGUUGCACUAGACAUAUUUAAUCUUUCCAUGUCAAUUUAAUAAUGUAUAGUAUUACACGCGAAGUGCUGCAGCUGUUGUUCAUUAGUAUAAAAUCCAGGAUUAUGGUUAUAAUAUUACCGAUGAUUUUUACUUACCGAUAGUUAUAAAAUGCUUUUCAUAUGGUUAGCUAAUUGUUUCUAGUGAAGAUUAUUCAUUUUCAUUAGUAUCUAGGAUGGAUUUUAUUUAUUUUUGUGGCGGAAUUGAUGCUGCAAUAGAGAUGAUAGUAGUAGUUGCAGUACUGGUGUUGGUAAUGUCUGUUGUGCAUGUGGUAAUGCUGGUUUUUGUUGUACUAAUGAGGGGGUGUUGCAGUGUUAUGAAUCCAAUGGCAUCAAACAAGAUGAAAUCCAGCCUUAUCUCUUAACAAACUAGAUGUGUACUAGUACUGAUGCCGGUGUUAGUGUUUGUAACAGUAGUGGCGGUGGAUGUUUUAGCAUUAUUGUUAUGGAAUUUGGUGGUUCGCUAGAUUGUGGUUGUGUAUUGGUGAUGGACUGAUGGUAUUGGUGGUACUAUUGCUGUUGGUGUUAGUGGUGGAGCAAGAAGUCAGUAUGCUCUUGGUAUGUUUAACCACUUAUUGUUUUCAGUGUAUAUUGCAGGUAUGUAAGAGAUGAUCAUUUUCCUUUUUAUGGUUGCAUUUGUUGAUGGUGCUUCAGUUCUUGAUCCUAUCUCUCAAGAUGAAUCUUUGGUGCAAUGGUAGCACAACUGACUCCACGUCAGAAAAUGCAUGUUCGAUUCAUGUCAGGUUCAUUAAUUUUAGUGUAUCAAUUUUUGGGAUCAACUUUGAUUGUUGACACCAGAUUUUGGGAUCAACUUUGAUUGUUGACACCAGAAUUUGGGAUCAACUUGGGCUGUUGACGUCAGAAUUUGGGAUCAACUUUGGUUGUUGACGUCAUUUUUCUUUUCUUCUUAUUUUUUGAUUUUUGUUUUUUGUUUUAGGGGAUCAACUUCGUUUGUUGACGCCGGAAUUUUGGAUCAACUUUGGUUGUUGACGCCUAUUAUUUAUUUCUUUUUCUUUUUUUAUUUUCUGAUUUUUGUUUUGGGGAUCAACUUCGAUCGUUGAUACCAUAAUUUGGGAUCAACAUUGAUUGUUGACGCAUAUUUUUUUUCUUUUUAUUUUCUGAUUUUUGUUUUUUGGAUCAACUUCGUUUGUUGAUACCAGAUUUUGGAAUCAACUUCGGUCGUUAACGCCAUAUUAUUAUUAUUAUUAUUAUUUUCUUAUUUUCUGAUUUUUGUUUUGGGGAUCAACUUCGGUUGUUGACACCAGAUUUUGAGAUAACUUCAGUUGUUGACGCGAUAUUAUUCUUCUAUUUCUUAUUUUUUGAUUUUUUUUCGGGAUCAACUUUGGUUGUUGACACCAUCGCGACGGCGACGAAGACGAUAGUGGUGGUGGUGGAGUGGUGGUGGAAUAUUGGUGGUGGCGGCGGUUAGUUGGUGGUGGAUUAAUGGUGGUUGAAUGUUGGUGGUGGUGGUGGAUAUAUGGUGGUGCUAGUGGUGGCGAUAUGGUGGUGGCAGCGGCAGCGGUGAAGUGGUAGAGAAAGAAAUUUGUUGUUUUUUGAAAUAAAGAAAAAUAUUAUAUGUAUGAGGGUAUUAAUGUAAUCUAAUUUUAAAUGGAUAAGAUUUUUAAAUGAUAGUGGUAUAUAUAUUGUUGUA